GAUCGGGGGGGUGAGGCUGCAAGCAGACGCGUCCGAGGCAAGGAAGUCCGAAGCCUGCUGUUGUCAGGCAAGCGGGAUAAUCAUGGAUAAACAGCCAAACCCACCGCUUUAGCUCCAGCAAGGCUGCCCCCGGAACGGGAGGACAGGCGGAAAUCUUCAUAUAACUCCGCAGCACCGACCGACGGGCGGAGGGCUUCGUCCGGGUCCUCCCCGCUGGAAGAAAUGUGGCUGAACCCGGAGGAGGUUCUGCUGAAAAACGCUCUGAAGCUUUGGGUGACCGUGAGGAGCAACGACUUCUUCCUGCUGCAGAAGAGGAGAGGCCACGGAGAGUCCACAAACAGGAUAACAGGUCUCCUGGUUGGGGCACUGGACACAGUGUUGGACUCCAAUGCCAGGGUCACGCCGUUCCGUAUCCUGUUGCAGGUCCCUGGCUCCCAGGUCAGCUGGGUCAUUGCCAGUGGAGCCACCAUACAGGAAGUGAAUAAGCACUGGGACUGGCUGAUCCACAACCUACUUCACUCCCUGUCAGUGUUUGAGAACAAAGAGGAUGCUGUCAGCUUCGUCAAAGGAAAAGUCAAGGGCCUUAUCGCAGAGGAGGUUCGAGGACGUCAGGCCGCUCAGGAGGAGGAUCCAGGAAAGUUCAGAGAUGCCCUUCUGAAGUUUGAGCUGCACUUUAGCCUCCCUUCAUCAGAGAAACUGGUGACCUACUACUCCUGCUGCUGCUGGAAGGGUCGGGUGCCUCGGCAGGGUUUCCUCUACCUCAGCGUCAAUCACAUGGCCUUCUACUCAUUUCUGCUGGGAAAAGAAGUGAAGUUUGUGAUUCCCUGGGCAGAGGUAACACGGUUGGAGCGGGUUUCCACCUCUCUGAUGACUGAAGCUAUCCGGGUCACCACCCGAAAGCGGCAGAGGGAGUUCUCCAUGUUCCUGAACCUGGAUGAGGCCUUCAGGUUCAUGAGUCAGCUGGCUGACAUCACCCUCAGGCGGCUGCUGGACAGCAAAGGUCUGGAGCUGGACCGCGUGCUGCAGCAGACAGCACGUAUAACCAAGAGGAUCUUAGAGGAACAGGCAAUCAGAGAGUACGUGUUGGCUUUGUUUCGUCUGCCCCGUUCAGAGAAGCUCCACGAAGUGGCCUCGUGCUCGGUGUGGACGCCGCACAGCCGUUCCCAUACAGCCGGGACGCUCUACACCACUGACAGCUAUCUGUGCUUCUCUAGCAGAGAGGAAGGCAGCUGCAUUCUGCUCAUCCCCCUCUCUGAGGUUUCGUCCAUAGAAAAAGCAGAGAGCACCAGCCCCCUUCCCAACCCAGUAAUCGUGAGCAUGCGGACCAAAAAGGCCUUCCAGCUGAUAGACCUGCUGGAAAGAGACGAGCUGGUGGAGAGCAUGAACUCCAGACUCCGAGCUCUGCAGUGGAAACACUCUGUGUUCCGCAAUAAGAGGGGCAGCAGGAGGAGCGUGACCUCCCCAACACCCUACUACACCUUUUACUAUGACACUGGCUUCUCUGAUGAAGAGAAGGUGGAGGAGCAGGUCCUCCGUAACACCGUCAACAGCGAAGCUCUCAUGACGGCGUUCCACCAAAGCCAGCCUGGAAACAAUGAGAAUAAGAGCAUGGAGCUGGUGAAGGAGCGACUGUGGGAGGACCAUUUCACGGAGUUUGGCCGCGGCGUUCACAUGUUUCGCACUGAAAAGAUCCAAAGGCUGGUUGCUAUGGGGAUCCCAGAGUCACUGCGAGGGGAGCUCUGGAUGACGUUUUCUGAUGCAUGCACUGAGCUGGAGUCCCACCAAGGCUACUAUGCCAGCCUGGUGCAGAAGUCGAUGGGCCACAGCAACCUGGCUACGGAUGAGAUAGAGCGUGAUCUGCACCGUUCGCUGCCGGACCACCCGGCUUUCCAAAACCCCACUGGCAUAGCCGCGCUCAGACGAGUCCUCACUGCCUACGCUCACCGCAACCCAAAGAUUGGAUACUGUCAGUCUAUGAACAUCCUGACGUCUGUCCUGCUGCUGUAUGCCAAAGAAGAAGAAGCUUUCUGGCUGCUGGUGGCUGUAUGUGAGACGAUGCUGCCUGACUACUUCAACCGCAGGGUCAUUGGAGCUCAGGUGGACCAGUCGGUGUUUGAGGAGCUGAUCAGGGAGCGUUUACCGGAGUUGGCAGAGCAGGUCCCGGAUCUGUCUACGCUCUCCUCCGUCUCCCUCUCGUGGUUCCUCACCCUCUUCCUCAGCGUCCUGCCUUUCCAAAGUGCCGUGUGUGUGGUGGACUGCUUCUUCUUCCAGGGGAUCAAAGUCAUCUUCCAGCUCGGUCUGGCCGUGCUGGACGCCAACUCUGCCCAGCUGUCCGCUUGCACGGAUGACGGACAGGCACUCAUGAUCCUCACCAGUUUCUUAGAACAGGUUGGAAAUACAGAGUCAGCUUGUGUUCCGUCGACCCCGCCCGCUGCAGAGGAAAACAGCUGCAGUGACACAGAUAUUCCCACUGGGAGACACACAAACAUCACCGACCUCAUCAGUGAGGCCUUAGGGAAAUUCAGAGACCUGACAGUGCAGCAGAUUGAGCGCCUUCGCUGUCUCCACAGAGUCCGUGUGCUGCAGGCCCAUGAAGACACCAUCAAAGACAACACUCUGAGACUGGUUUCCUCAGAUGUCUCCAUCUCUCCUGAGAAUCUGGAUGACCUGUAUGACCUCUUUAAGACGGAGCACUUUAUCACUCUGUAUUGGGGUGACAGCAGCUCUGCGGCAGCAGCAGAGGCUGCGGCCUGGCAACACACCGACUCCGGUCACUCUUUCGUAGAGCGCCUGUAUCGGCUGGACCGACCACAGUUCAAAAGUCUCUUUGGGCUGCUGGCGCCGUGGUCGUCUGGGUCAAGUCAGCACACAGACAUACUGGCCAACCGCACCUUCAUCCUGCUGGACCAGGACCGUGACAACCUGGUCACCUUCAAGGAGUUCGCCAGCUGGCUGGACACACUCUACUGUGAAGAUCUGAAUGAGAAAAUAAGGUUACUGUACCGUCUCCACAUCCCUCCAGCUCUGACUGAGAGUGAGGAUGAACCUUCCCUGACGAGCCCCCUGCUGUCCACAAACAGGCCCCUUUACGUUAACAAGGAGACCCCUGUUCCAGACAGUGGAGAAGAAGUAAAAGACUACCAGGAGCAGCUGAAGCAGAUGCUGCAGGACUUGGUCAAAGAGAAGGAGAAAGACGUGGACAAACCUCUGCCGCUUAUGAAUCAGCGAGAGUUCAUCCAGUUCUGUAAGACACUCUACAGCAUGUUCCACGGUGAGCCGGAGGAGAAUGACCUCUUCCAGGCCAUCGCUAAGGUAACCAGUCUGGUGCUGCAGAUCGGUGAGGCCGGCCACCGCAAACAAACCAAAGCAUUGGAGGAGAAGGCAGCAGAACCCAUCCAGGCAUCCGACGGGGCUUUGGCUGCAGACGAUGAGUGGACGGUCAGCUACGCUCAAAUCCUGGCCUCGCUGCUCACCGAGCAGGCGCUGGUGAACUUUUUUGAGAAGCCAGCGGACCUGUUGGCAAAAAUCGCACAGGCCAAACAGAAUCAGUACCAGCAGCGGGCGGGUUUGCUCACACUGGGAGGGACCAGGUGACUGACAGUGAACCACACUGGAGCCAUAUGUGAGGACAUUGUCACGUCUGUUUCAUUUGGUCAAACAGGAGACCUUAAGAUGGAAGCCUUAUCUGUAACAUUAAUCUAACAGUUGGUUUAAGAGCCAGAAUGACACAACAUGAACUCAACGCUACCUUCUAACCACCAUGAUGAAGCCUGCCGGUUAACUGUCGUCCUCUAUAAUGUUUACACAUUCUGACUAAUUACAGCAUUAAUUAUUAUACGUCCUUGAUUCCACCAGCCUGCCGUUUCCAGAUGACUGCCUUAUCAGAACCUUUUACCAACAGACCUUACAAACUGCUCCCAGGACAGAUGUUACAAGCCGAAAAGGUGUCAAAGUCAUUUCUCAGAGGUUGUACUACAUAUUUCUACGGAAACGUCACACAGUUGGAGCAGCUUUGUGAGCUGCAUAUCCAUGGAAAUUGCUUUUACUAUUUUGUUUGGACAAUGCAAAUGUCUUAAAAAUCUUAAAUACUAGCUUAAAAAGUCAGUAUUUAACAAGAAGGACUGACAACUUGAAGUGCUUCUUUAAAUGAGCUGGGCAAGAUCCAGUCACCAAGUAUUUGGAUGUAAAUGAACAAAAUGAUGGAUAACAGUGGAAAGAAGGAGGCGGAGUGCUGCAGGAGCUUGUGUGCUUUAUUAAUUACUGAGUAAAGGUAGAGGACGAGCCUUAGCCAGGACCCAAACAAUCGGAAGAAACAAAACACACAUGAAAUUCUAUUAUCCAGUCGUCAUUUAGAAGAAGGGAAGACUGGUGCUUAUUUCAUACAACUCUAUAGGAGUGAUUCGAUCAUGGAGGAGAUGGGUGGUAGCUACCUCCUAUUUUAUUCAUUCAGAUCUUAGUACUGGAUCUAGUCCAGAGUUCUUAGAAGAAAGUAAUCUGUGUAGCUUGGACAAAAACCGUACAUUAAAUUUUGGUAUAAAUUGUUGAAAUGUA